UACGUAGGGGGCAAGCGUUGUCCGGAAUCAUUGGGCGUAAAGCGCGCAUAGGCGGCCCGGUAAGUCCGCUGUAAAAGUCCAGGGCUCAACCCUGGAAAGCCGGUGGAUACUGUCGGGCUAGAGUCCGGAAGAGGCGAGUGGAAUUCCUGGUGUAGCGGUGGAAUGCGCAGAUAUCAGGAGGAACACCAAUGGCGAAGGCAGCUCGCUGGGACGGUACUGACGCUGAGGCGCGAAAGCGUGGGGAGCGAACAGG
rnacentral:rRNA from 1 species